AUAAUAAAUAUUAUUUAUUUAUUUAGGUGUCAUGUAAUAAUUAAUAAAGGAAAAAUUAUAAAUAUACCCUCAAACUAUCACAAAUAAUAUGUUAAUACCCUUCGUUAUACUUUAGGGUUGUAUAUACCCUAAUUGUUACUCUUUUGGGUUGUGUAUACCCUUAAAAUUAACGGGUGCAUACGUGACUUCAUCCCAACCAUUUACUCGAUCUUAUUUAUUUAUUUAGCUAAAAUUAAAAGAUUCACCCAUUUUUCGUAAUUUACCCACUCAUGACCCAAAUUAAAACACCAUAACAUUUAAAAAGAUACAUAAAUAAAAAAGGAGCCCUCUUCCAUUAAAUCAUAACCCAGAACCUUUUAAAUCAAACUAAAGACAAAAUUAUUCUUCAUUAUAUUUUCAUUUCAGAUCUAUUUUAAUUUGUUGUUGAACGGAGUUGGAAAUGCUAUCACCAUUGAUGGACAAAACUUCUGGUUUAAAAUUCUGCCAUUAUGGCGAGCUCCAAGCUCCAGCGAAAUUGAAGUCUGACAAAAGUGGUAAACAAUACAGUCAACAACGAAUAGAUUUCAGCAACGGAGAAAAACCAACAAACCAACGACCAGCUUCAUCUCCAGCCAAGUGAAUUGAACCAAGUCCACCAUAUUUUUGUGGUUGUUGGAAAGUGUUUUUAUUUUAAUAUUGCUCAGAAUUUGAAAAUAUUCUUACAAUCUAUUUGUGUUGUGAGGAUGAUUAAUUGUUUUUUUCUUUUUGUAACUUUAAGAAGGAUACAUUCAUGAGCUUAUUCCAGA